AUUUACCCUUCGAAAUUGAUAAAAAAUCGUUUCUUGACAUUCGAUUUUGGAGUACUUUUUAUGUGAACGUACUCAUACAUCGAACUUUUCCGUCGAAAAAAAUGUCUGACGCAAAGCGAAACAAAAGAAAAAAUGUCAAUUGGCAAUUGCUUGCAUAUUCAAUUUUUAAGGCGUUCAGACGAAGACUCUUUUGUCACUCAUUAUCGCAAAUUCUCUUUUGGUGUCGCAUAGUGCGUUCACACGAGUUUUCUUGAUUACUCAAUAAUUUGUAAGAAAGUCGUCUUAUAAUGGCAACCAAGUUUGUAUAAUUCAGUGAUAUGUUAACAUGAUAUUUCGCGUCUUAUUCGACCCCCAUACUAGUAGGUCCUAUUUUCUUGGGGUCGGGGGUAAUCUUCGGAAAGCAGAGUGUCUAUUCGUGCACGGCAUAUGCCAAUAUCCCCAAUAAUUGCAGUUUUCAUCCAGUCUAUUUAUAUUUAGAAAUGAGAGGUUUAAUUCAUAAAUGCUUGCCGUCUAAAUUUCCAAGUGUAUGCGCUCUUUAUAGAAUUUCUGGAGGAAGAUAUGGACUUUACGAGACCAUCAACACCGCUGAGUAGCCCUCUGGAAGCUGUGACAUCAUUUGACGUUUAUUAAUGUAUAUUGCAAUCAAUAAACAGUGAAUUUUCUCCUAA